CAGGAAGAAGGCAGUGAAGCUUGGGGCCAAAAAGGUGUUCAUUGAGGAUGUCAGCAGGGAGUUUGUGGAGGAGUUCAUCUGGCCAGCCAUCCAGUUCAGCGCACUGCAUGAGGACCGCUACCUCCUGGGCACUUCUCUCACCAGGCCCUGCAUCGCCUGCAAACAAGUGGAAAUUGCCCACCGGGAGGGGGCCAAGUAUGUGUCCCAUGGCGUCACGGGAAAGGGGAGCGAUCAGGUCCAGUUUGAGCUCAACUGCUACUCGCUGGCUCCCCAGAUAAAGGUCAUUGCUCCCUGGAGCAUGCCUGAGUUCUACAACCGGUUCAAGGGCCACAACGACCUGAUGGAAUACGCAAAGCACCACGGGAUUCCCAUCCUGGUCACUCCCAAGAACCUGUGGAGCAUGAACAAGAACCUCAUGCACAUCAGCUACGAGGCUGGAAUCCUGGAGAAUCCCAAGAACCAAGCGCCUCCAGGUCUCUACGCGAAGACCCAGGACCCGGCCCCCAACACCCCUGACAUUCUCGAGAUUGAGUUAAAAAAGGGGUCCCCGUGAAGGUGACUGACAUCAAGGAUGGCUCCACCUACCAGACCUCCUUGGAGCUCUUCAUGUACCUGAACGAAGUCGCGGGCAAACACGGCGUGGGCCGUACUGACAUCGUGGAGAACCGCUUUAUUGGAAUGAAGUCUCGAGGUAUCUAGGAGGCCCCGGCAGGCACCAUCCUUUACCACGCUCAUUUAGACAUCAAGGCCUUCACCAUGGACUGGGAAGUGCACAAAAUCAAACAAGGCCUGGGCUUGAAAUUUGCUGAGCUGGUAUAUACCGGUUUCUGGCACAGCACUGAGUGUGAAUUUGCCUGCCACUGCUUCGCCAAGUCCCAGGAGCCAGUGGAAGGGAAAGUGCAGGUGUCUGUCUUCAAGGGCCAGGUGUACAUCCUCGGCCGGUAGUCCCCACUGUCUCUCUACAAUGAAAAGCUGGUGAGCGUGAACAUGCAGGGUGAUUAUGAGCCAAUUGAUGCUACUGGUUUCAUCAACAUCAGUUCCCUCAGGCUGAAGGAAUAUCAUCAUCUCCAGAGCAAGGUCACUGCCAAAUAGACCCCUGUGCAAUGAGGAGCUGGGGCCUCCUCAAUAUGCAGAGCCCCCAAGUACAGGUGCUAAUUGUUGUGACAAUUUGUAAUUGUGACUUGUUCUCCCCGGCUGGCAGCGUAGUGGGGCUGCCAGGCCCCAGCUUUGUUUCCUGGUCCCCUUGAAGCCUGCAAACGUCAUCGUUGAAGGGAAGGGUGUGGGUCAGCUGCAGUGGGGAGCUAUAAAAUGACAAUUAAAAGAUAACAACUCCCCCCCGCAAAAAAUGCUUAAUUUGGACAGUAAACUUAGUAACCCUAUCUCUAAUUCUUCCAACGUAAGUACCUAAUUACCGGCAUUUAAAUUCUUUCUGUUUGAAACACCUAGAGUAGUUACUGUUUCCUUUAUUGAAUGCCAGCUGAUGUCAAAGGCAGACAAAACCAGAUGGUGGUUAAAGGUGAUAAAGACAGAUUUUGUUCAGUACUCUUGUAAUAGGGGAGAAUAGCCAAUGUAACCUGAGCUCAACUCUGCUGCAACAAAAGGUGGGGCACUUUUUAAAUACUGGGGUGUGCUGAAGAAAAGACACUGAUGAGUGUUAAGGGGCAUAUGGUCUGUGUCACUAGGUUAUCUAGGUUUGCUACUUGGUGCUUAUCUGGAGGAGAAACAAACUUCUUACAUCUUUAUGACAGGGGAAGUUGUGCAAGCUGGGGCAAGGGGCUGCAGAUGUUAUGCCCUUACCUUCACACUGAGAGGAAGAGUUAUCUUCCUAAUGUUUGCAUUUCAGAGAGAUGGCUCCCAGGUCCUUGAGGAGACAGUUUUGCGUGAUAGAAGAUUUAUAUCUCAAGGGCAGAGAAAGGAUUUAUAAUUGCAAGCUUUCGCAGGCAGACAUUUUAAGAGGGAGCUGAGGUCAUCUUAGGGACGAAAUCUUAAUCUGCUAGAAGUCAUACUAGGGUUUGGUCAAGAACAGAGUCUGUCAUGAAUGUACCUGAGAUCAUGAGAUUUUGCUUGAAUUACUUUGGGAAUAUACCAUACCUCACAAGGCAUGGUAUAUAGAACUUGAUUUCAGCAGUCAUCUUUUUUGAAAAUGACUACCAGAGAAUCAGUGUGACCCAAUUUCCAAGACCAAGAGGCACCUGGAGUGAGAAGCUUUGGUGUACAUAUUUACAAAUAUAAAACAGUCUUUUCUUUUUGUGUUGCUAGGAAUAGCCUUUUCUAUUUGUAAUAAAAACAGCUGUUCUUUUUCUACUGGGUUUUGAAAAGAUAUUUACUUCAAUCUUUUUUUUUUUGAGACAGAGUCUUGCUGGACUCUGGAGCGCAGUGGUACCAUCUCGGCUUACUGCAACCUCUGCCUCCCUGGUUCAAGCGAUUCUCUUACUUUAGCCUCCUGAGUAGCUGGGAUUACAGGCACGUGCCACCAUACCUGGCUGAUUUUUGUAUUUUUAGUAGCGAUGGGGUUUCACCAUGUUGGCCAGGCUGAUCUUGAACUCCUGGCCUCAAGUGAUCCACCUGCUUUGGCCUCCCAAAAUGUUGGGAUUACAGGCAUGAGCCACUGUGCUGGCCUACUUUAAUCUUUAUCACCUCAAUUUCUACUCAUCCACAUCCAUUCCAACCAAGUAGAGAAGCAGCCAAGAAUGAUUAAAAUAUUAUAGCUUGUGAAUAUAAUGCAGACUGUGCAGGAUCUUGUUUGUGACCUGAAGAUUGAAAAGGGACCUAAGGCACUGCUGACCCUGGGACUAAGCCUCCACAUUAAGCUUCCUGGCAUUCUUUCUGAGUUUGGCCUGCUGGAGCUGGCCGAUCCUGUGUGCAUUUCUGAUCAACCAUCAAUAUUUCAAGGCCAAGAAUUUGGAGAUAGAGGUGAGGUUUAUUCCAAAUCUCUAAACCAUUUCCACUUAAUACUCAUUAUUGUAGAAGGAAAAAUUUAUUUGUUCUCUGAAAGAGGCACAAAGCACAUUUGAUUAUACCACUUUUCCUGACACUUAUUUUACUAGUAGAUCUGUUUUUAAAAAUAGAAAGCAAAUUAUUAUGCCUGAGUGACUUCAAAGCAUUCCCAUCAUUCCAAUUAGCAACCAUGUUGCUCCCAUGGAGGAGAGAGAGGGGCUGAGGGUAUGUGGGAGUGAAAAAGAGACAGGUAGGAGGAGAGAAAGCGUCAAAGAAAUGACAAGGAAGGGCAAGUUGCCAGGAGCUCAGUGGUUUGAAAUUCUAGCCGGGAUGCGUUCCUUAUUGUAGUUCCUCAACUAAAUGAAAGCUUGCUUGUCUUGGAAAGAAAAUUCAGAAGAUUACAUUCUUGAGGUACGAAGUAAAAGAUCAGACACACUCCAAGGUGAUUGGACUAGAAUCUACAGAAAAUAUUUUCAUAAAACAUUUUCCACAAUCAGUCCCUUUGUAAAAACAUGAUUUGGAGAGAGUGCUAUAAACAAAUAAAAAACACAAACAUUUCAAUAUUACUUUCUUCUUUAGUUUGUGUUAUUUUAAGGAGGGUGGAGAAUGAAAUAAUGUCUUCAGAAACAUAUUAAACAAGUCAGUUCAAGACAAUCUCUGGUGAGAACUAAAUUAUUUACUACCUUAAUUUUCAUAAGCUUUCUCACCAUGAGUUUCAUCUUCAUGUAUUAUGUUUUUGUUGGACGAAAAAAUUCAAGUAUUUUGUUUUUCUUUAUGCACACUUGAUUUCUGAAUUCUUUGUUUCUCCAUGUAAGAGAGUAAAAUGAUCCCCAAACUAAGCCAUUCUGCUAAGAACUUGGAAUGCCUUGUUUUGACUUCCUGUACUGAACUCUGUUUUAGUGUUCAGACUAAUUUCCUUUGAAGAAUGCUCCUCAGGCCUCAGUACUUUUCCUGAGUUUCUGAUGUGUCAAACUUAUUUUCUCACUUGACCUUAAGGAAUAUCUAGGCUUAUUGCUAAGAAUUACAGAUAACCCAGGAAUUUGCAAAUACUAUAAAUCAUGUAUACAAAAUGAAUCAUACUUACUCUGUAGAACUGCAUGGCUUAUCACCUAAUGCAUUUUAAAGCAUUGCUAUGUUUUCUUCUUUUCUUCCUUUCUCUCUCUGCUUUCCUUCUUUCACUCAUAUACAUAACAGUUACUAUCAGCCAGACUGAUAGUAGCUGGAGACAAUGAAAGGCAAAGCAGCAUUGAAAUAUCACUAGUAAAUCUGUAAGCUUUAUCAGAAAAAACAAAGGGUGGAGUCCAUAGACAUACCUAGUUACUGAAAAUCAAAUAUCAUAAGGAAAAUGUCAGUGGACAUAUAGCCCCAGAAACUGUGCUGAAAACAGCCAUCAUUUGAAAAUAGAGAAUAUGUCUUUUAUAAGAUCUUCCUAGCAUAAGAGGUACGUUUGUGAAUAUCAUGACUGGAACACAUUUUCAGCUAAGUAAAAGGUGACGCUUCUUUCUUCCUCCCCUUCUCUCUCCACUAACCCCACUAACUUAAUAGUUAACCCCAUUAACUCCCUUAAAUUUGCCCAUUACCACUGACUUUGAAGGAAGGUUUUGUCUUAGUUAUGAUCCCUCAAAAGCAGAACCAGAAAGCAGUACUUGGAGGUGGGUAGUUUAUCUGGGAGGAUUCCAGGAUGCACAAAGGAAGGAGCUAAGAAAGUGAGUGAAGACAGGGAGUGUGGACCUAGAACAAACAAAAAGGUCAAAAUCUAGUUCAAAGAGCGUGUAUUCAAGCCUAAAGUUUGAGAAGGGCCACCCAGGAGCAUAGAUUCAAGUUGCCCAGGAUAUACAUUUUGGUUAGCAGCCUUUACAAGUGGGUUUUUAAGGAAAAAGAAGAGGCAGUUCCUAAGUUGUUUACCAAGAUUUACAUUAAGAUUACUAAAGCUAGUGGUUGGCUGUACAUUGUUCUUUGUAUCACAUAUUCCAGGAAUUGGAAGACUGUGGGUGAGACCCCUAGUCACGAAAAAAAUGCUUUUAAACAAUUGCCUCCAGGCAUGGGUUCAGGCGCUGGACAGAACCAUGUUUCUUAGUGCCUGGUAAAUUUUGUAUACCCCAGGUAGCUCAGACAGCUCUGAGCUAUUUUUCUUUUCUCAGGAGAAAAGCCACUUGAGGGUGCAUUCAUAGAGGUGGAUUACCUGUGUAGGAAAUAGGGUUCUGUCUAGCUGGGGACACACUCAGGAACUUAGACUUGUUCUGCUGAGGGGCAAGGAAAUUGUGGUAUUUAUCUACCUACUCCCUCUCCUCAUUGGUUGAGGGUUGCUCUUUGUGUGGAAUUCCUAGCACUUCCAGAUUGCUGACAAGUAUGGAUUGAGAGAACCUUGCUUAUAGUAGCUUUGCACCAUAUUAGCAGGAAUAGGAACUGCAAAGCACAUCCAAAGUGGAAUAAAGUUAAGAAUUUUACACUGCCAACUGUGCACGCAAGUAGCCUAAGCAAUCUCUCCUAGGGGAGACAGAGCCCGCAGGUGGAGAGAUAGGGAAGAGUAUUUGAGGUGGGAAGUUAUCAACGUGCUCAUUGUCCAUGACAGCUACAGGAACUCAGAGUUGAGGCUGAGGGGAUACGGGAGGGAGUGUGGCAACAGCAUCUGCUGUGGUCCUUCAAAUGUUUAGAUUUUUCCCUUGGCAGAACUUGAACUAUAUUAAGAUUGAUGCUUCAAAGCCCCCUUAGUGGUUACUCUUGCUGGUAGUAAGUCUGCACAUGCUAGGUGAAAUGUGCAUUCAUAUAUUGAACAUACAUGCUCUAAGUCUGCACAUGUUAGGUGAAGUGUGCCUUCAUAUAUUGGAACAGUUGUAGAGACAACUAUAAAAGUUUCCCAGUCUGAGCAGUAUGGGGAGGGUCAGGUCUUUAUCUCCCAGAGCUCAUCACCACCCUCAGUGCAGUCUGCCAGCAUCUCACUCCUUUAAGAAUCUCAUUUUCAGAGAAGUAUACUGCAAUGGUUAGUGAAAUUAUUCUCUGUAAAACUGCUUAGAGAUUCUUACAGGAACUAUUACCCCUCUAUUAAAAACAGUGAGAAAAACUUUAAAAAAUAAUAUUUCCUUGGC
rnacentral:lncRNA from 1 species